GCGGGAAACUCAGAAAGUGGCUUUCACAUUGACAGCCUUUCCUGCUCUGAGACGGGCAGAGUAAUCUUCAACGUGGAAGCUGAAACCCUGUCCCUGGCGUAGCGAGUCCAUGGAGAAGGUCACAUGUGACUGACAACGCUGAGCUAAAUCCGGAUCAGCUCUCAGACUCCGCAGGCCUAUGCUGUCCGCCAAGAAGGGGCAUCCGGCUAAAUUGGGCAUUGGUGACUUUGCAGGGGAAAUGGAAGCCCUGGCUGUCACAGCACCGGAGGGAGCAGCAAAGGAUGCAACAGCAUCACAAGCUGAGGUGGAAGCAGUAGAAAAGGCAGAAGCAACAGGAGAGAUGGAAAUCCCAGAGGGAGCAGGCCCAUGUGGAGAGGCGAUCACCCCUGAAAGAGCAGCAGCAGGGCAGGUGGAGGCAGAAGAAGCAGCAGCGAUAGUGGUGGAAGUAUCAGAAGAUCUGGAAGGAGAAAGAGUUGCUGAAGCAUUUGCCAGAGCGGCAGAAAGGAUAGCAAAAUCAGAAGUAGCUAAGGUGUUGCAAUCAGCAAUAGCUGAGCUAAAAGAGAAGAGGAGGAGCGCAUGGCUAAAGCCAAGGAACGGCUCUCAACAGGAGGAGAAGGAAUGGGUAAAAGAGGGUGAGGUAAAAUGAAAUGAAGGAGAGGUGGCAUUCAGGAUCAAAUCUAAAGGGGUGCUUUGUACUGUGACAGUGUGUGCCAUUGACUGCUCCUGGAGUGCAACAGGACUGCCAGUUACAUCCCUUUCUGUGAAUGCCCAUACUGCUAAAAAUAAACAUAUGCCAUAUU